rnacentral:rRNA from 1 species
UACAGAGGGGGCAAGCGUUGUUCGGAAUUACUGGGCGUAAAGGGCGCGCAGGCGGUCCUCCAAGUCAGAUGUGAAAGCCCCGGGCUCAACCUGGGAACAGCAUUUGAGACUGGGAGACUUGAGUUCGGGAGAGGAGAGCGGAAUUCCCAGUGUAGAGGUGAAAUUCGUAGAUAUUGGGAAGAACACCGGUGGCGAAGGCGGCUCUCUGGACCGAUACUGACGCUGAGGCGCGAAAGCGUGGGGAGCAAACAGG